CGGGCCAAACGCCGUCAUACCAAGAGCGCGUCAUAUCCCCUUUUCGCGGUGUUUAUCUGUUGCUGGGUAGAUGGACAGCCUGCGUGUCGUCCUUUCUUUCCACUCUUCAUUUUCCUCCCGCACCUAUCACACCAUCUCCCGAUCUAGAAAGACCACCGUGAUUCCCACCGACCGCCGCCGACGGCCGUCCCAUCCUCCGCCGCAGGCACCUCAACCACCGUCGUUUUUUUACCCCAGCCUACCGGUGUCGCCUGCUUCUCUCUACAAAUCCAUCCCUUUCCAUGCCCGACCUCCCAGAUUCCCCACCACCGAUGGAUCCCAGCAGGCGCUCUCCAGCUCGUUCGGUGGCACACGAUUUGGAGUAGAUCCAUCCCCUGGGCGCCUUGUUCGCUGACGGGAAGAUGAUCUGCCGUCCCGAGCGUCGAGGGCCUCCAGCAGGUGGCGUCGGGAGGCAGGAGAAGCCGUGGUGGAGGAACGCACGAGAUCCCAUGGUCCGUUUAUGGCGUGUUUCCCGACCAGAUCUUGUAAAAGGAAGCUUGGCUAGAUUCAGCUUUGCUCGUUUGAGCUAUAGCCCACACGAGAAGAACGCCGCUCCCUUGCUUUCGCCAGAGAGGCAUUCUGUGAUUCCUUAUUUCUUGCUGCUGUUGCCUUCUUCACAAAAUCCCCCUUCAUUUAUUCUCUUUUUUUUUCUGGUCUGCACUUUGUAUCUUUGUCCUAAUCUUACGCUGUUAGGUUGUAACAAGGUUCUGAUCCAGAUACUUUCCCCAAGGAUUUUUUUUGGUACGAAUCCACCAUCCAGAUCCGUUCUUGCUUUUUUUGUUCAGAUUCUUAAUUUGUUUUGUUGGAAUAAAGAUUUACCAAGAUUCAUAUCCUC